rnacentral:rRNA from 1 species
AACGAACGCUGGCGGCAUGCCUAACACAUGCAAGUCGAACGAGACCUUCGGGUCUAGUGGCGCACGGGUGCGUAACGCGUGGGAACCUGCCCUUAGGUUCGGAAUAACUCCCCGAAAGGGGUGCUAAUACCGGAUAAUGUCUUCGGACCAAAGAUUUAUCGCCUUUGGAUGGGCCCGCGUUGGAUUAGCUCGUUGGUAGGGUAAAAGCCUACCAAGGCGACGAUCCAUAGCUGGUCUGAGAGGAUGAUCAGCCACACUGGGACUGAGACACGGCCCAGACUCCUACGGGAGGCAGCAGUGGGGAAUAUUGGACAAGGGGCGAAAGCCUGAUAAAGCAAUGCCGCGUGAGUGAUGAAGGCCGUAGGGUUGUAAAGCUCUUUUACCCGGGAUGAGAAUGACAGUACCGGGAGAAUAAGCUCCGGCUAACUACGUG